CAAUAUAAGUGAUGGCGACCGGCGCACGGGUGAGUAACACGUAUCCAACCUGCCGAUAACUCGGGGAUAGCCUUUCGAAAGAAAGAUUAAUACCCGAUGGUAUAAUAAAACCGCAUGGUUUAAUUAUUAAAGAAUUUCGGUUAUCGAUGGGGAUGCGUUCCAUUAGGCAGUUGGUGAGGUAACGGCUCACCAAACCUUCGAUGGAUAGGGGUUCUGAGAGGAAGGUCCCCCACAUUGGAACUGAGCCACGGUCCAA
rnacentral:rRNA from 1 species